UAAGAACCAGUCGGAGUAAUCAAUCCGUCACCGGCAUCCACUUCCUACGGAAUAUCAACACUGAAAUGAAUCAUUUACAUACCCUAUUCAUUAAUAAUGCGAAAGAAACUGACCAAAAAAUUACCGUGGUACUCGUUGACAUGUCGCGUGCAUAAACCUUAUAUUUAAAGUAUCCAAAUCAGUUAAUCAAUCAACAUAAAAUUAAAAAAACAAAAAAAAUUAAAAAAAUGGAUCAAUGCCUCAUCACUUAUUGAGAAAUGCAUGUUUCCAUAUGAGGCAUCAUUAGGG
rnacentral:lncRNA from 1 species